CAGGUGCACUGAUCCGGCCGGGCCUUUCCCUCUGUGGAACCCCAUGGCCUUCACUGGCUGUGCGGGGGAAACAGGACUUUUACUGUGAAAAAAUUAGAGUGCUCCAGGCAGGCCUAUGCUCGAAUACAUUAGCAUGGAAUAAUAGAAUAGGACGCGUGGUUCUAUUUUGUUGGUUUCUAGGACCGCCGUAAUGAUUAAUAGGGACAGUCGGGGGCAUCAGUAUUCAAUUGUCAGAGGUGAAAUUCUUGGAUCUAUUGAAGACUAACUACUGCGAAAGCAUUUGCCAAGGAUGUUUUCAUUGAUAAGGAACGAAAGUUAGGGGAUCGAAGACGAUCAGAUACCGUCGUAGUCUUAACUAUAAACUAUGCCGACUAGGGAUCGGACGAUGUUAUUUCUUGACGCGUUCGGCACCUUUCGAGAAAUCAAAGUGCUUGGGCUCCAGGGGGAGUAUGGUCGCAAGGCUGAAACUUAAAGAAAUUGACGGAAGGGCACCACCAGGGGUGGAACCUGCGGCUUAAUUUGACUCAACACGGGGAAACUCACCAGGUCCAGACAUAGUGAGGAUUGACAGAUUGAGAGCUCUUUCUUGAUUCUGUGGGUGGUGGUGCAUGGCCGUUCUUAGUUGGUGGAGUGAUUUGUCUGCUUAAUUGCGAUAACGAACGAGACCUUAACCUGCUAAAUAGCCCGUACUGCUCUGGCAGUUCGCCGGCUUCUUAGAGGGACUAUCGG
rnacentral:rRNA from 1 species